GACGAACGCUGGCGGCGUGCUUAACACAUGCAAGUCGAACGAGUGGCGAACGGGUGAGUAAUACGUGAGUAACCUGCCCUCUUUUUGGGAUAAGCCUUGGAAACGGGGUCUAAUACCGGAUAAUGGGGGAUGGGCUCGCGGCCUGUCAGCUUGUUGGUGGGGUGAUGGCCUACCAAGGCGGUGACGGGUAGCCGGCCUGAGAGGGUGACCGGCAACAGUGGGACGGAGAUACGGCCCAGAGUCCGAAGGGAGGGAGCAGUUGGGGAUAUUGCAGAAUGGGCGAAAGCCUGAUGCAGCGACGCCGCGUGGGGGAUGAAGGCUGUCGGGUUGUAAAACUCUGUAGCUAUGGAUAGGGUAGGUGGAGAAGAAGCGCCGGCUAACUACGUGCCAGCAGCCGCGGUAAUAC
rnacentral:rRNA from 1 species